rnacentral:misc_RNA from 1 species
GGCAGAUGCAGGAUCCAUGUCAAAAACUGUGAACACAGAAGACGUUGGCGGCUCAAAGAAGGAGAUAACACCAAAAGAAGUGAAAAACAAAUCCGAGAAGAGAGCACCAAAACACUGGAGCAAUCUUAAAAAAUGGAUACUUCUCCAACGAUUCGUCAAGGAAUUGGAAAAGGUUAGAAGGAUCAAUACAAGGAAGCCGCAGUAUUUGCAGUUGAAUCCUGAUCCUGAAGCAGAAAAGGUGAAUUUAAGAACUCAAACAGCUGAUGAGAGGAAAAGAGGAGAAGAGUGGAUGCUUGACUAUGCGCUUCAGCAGGCGAUAAGUCAACUUGCUCCGACUCAACAAAGAAAAGUGGAACUGCUGAUAAAAGCAUUUGAAACUGUGGUUCCACCACAAGGCGACAAUAGCCAGAUUGCAUUUUCUAAGCCUAGGACUAGAAAGGAGAAUGAAUUCAUGUCUACAGCUGGCAAUACGGGGCGUAAGGCAGAGAAAGUUAUUGCAGGCAUAGACAGAAAGCUUGAAGAAAAUGACUGCUCUAUGUACAAAGAUCAUGAUGUUCGACAGUCUGUACUUAGGCAGAAGUCGGAUGAAGUGACAAGCGCUGUGAAUGAUGAGG